AGGACUUUGCAAAGUUUUUUUUAAAGAUAUUUAUUAUCAAUUUUGGAUUCUUUUUCCAUUUAUUUUCUGGUAUUUUUAUAUAAUUGUGAAAAUAAAACGAUGGGUUGGAUUAUCCCUGUUUACCAUCAUAUCAUGGACUUGUCCAUAAUUUGAAAUCUAGGAAAUAUGGGUCAGCAGAAGCUUAGACAGUGGAAAUAAAGCAAAUAACAAAGGAUUUUAUUGAUAGUUAAAAAUUGUGGUGAUAAAAUAUAAGCAAUUUUUGAGAUAAUAUUUUGUUUAAAGUGUAAGGAUUGAAUAUUUUUGAAUUUUUCAAAGAAAAAAAAUAAGACUUAGCCUUGUGAAUGAAAAUGACAAUAAUCUGGAUAUGCUCAGUUGUAAAUGAAUUUUGAAUGCUACAUUAUGACCUUGGAUAAGAAGAUAAAUACCAAUAUCAUAAAAAUUCAGGAUAUGUCUCAAGCUGGUGUAAAAAGAAUGGGAGGGGAGGAGUCACGGACAAGGAUAUUAACGAUACCAUAAGUUAAAGCAGAUCAGUUAUGCUUGGAUUAAAAAUGAAAACAACUGCCUGAACAAAAAACAUUUACAGUGAAAUAAAAUGAAAUAAUUUGCCAUGGAUUAAAACAAUACAAUAGCAGUGCAAUAAAAAAUAUAACUCGUG